rnacentral:rRNA from 1 species
AGAGUUUGAUCCUGGCUCAGGAUGAACGCUGGCGGCGUGCCUAAUACAUGCAAGUCGAGCGAACAGACGAGGAGCUUGCUCCUCUGACGUUAGCGGCGGACGGGUGAGUAACACGUGGAUAACCUACCUAUAAGACUGGGAUAACUUCGGGAAACCGGAGCUAAUACCGGAUAAUAUAUUGAACCGCAUGGUUCAAUAGUGAAAGACGGUUUUGCUGUCACUUAUAGAUGGAUCCGCGCCGCAUUAGCUAGUUGGUAAGGUAACGGCUUACCAAGGCAACGAUGCGUAGCCGACCUGAGAGGGUGAUCGGCCACACUGGAACUGAGACACGGUCCAGACUCCUACGGGAGGCAGCAGUAGGGAAUCUUCCGCAAUGGGCGAAAGCCUGACGGAGCAACGCCGCGUGAGUGAUGAAGGUCUUCGGAUCGUAAAACUCUGUUAUUAGGGAAGAACAUAUGUGUAAGUAACUGUGCACAUCUUGACGGUACCUAAUCAGAAAGCCACGGCUAACUACGUGCCAGCAGCCGCGGUAAUACGUAGGUGGCAAGCGUUAUCCGGAAUUAUUGGGCGUAAAGCGCGCGUAGGCGGUUUUUUAAGUCUGAUGUGAAAGCCCACGGCUCAACCGUGGAGGGUCAUUGGAAACUGGAAAACUUGAGUGCAGAAGAGGAAAGUGGAAUUCCAUGUGUAGCGGUGAAAUGCGCAGAGAUAUGGAGGAACACCAGUGGCGAAGGCGACUUUCUGGUCUGUAACUGACGCUGAUGUGCGAAAGCGUGGGGAGCAAACAGGAUUAGAUACCCUGGUAGUCCACGCCGUAAACG